rnacentral:rRNA from 1 species
UUUUGGAAGCUAAGCAGGGUUAGCCCUGGCUAGUACUUGGAUGGGAGACCAUCAGAAAUAUUAGAGACUCCAAAGU